GAGCUGCACCGCGCGUAGGCGGCGCAUCCACGAGGCGCGCAAGAGCUAAGCUAAUAAUGCGGAAUAGCGAUGGAUAGCUUCAAUAGCUUGGAGCCUUGGAUCUCCAUAUAUAUGCUCGUAGUAGCGCCAUCACGGCCUUUUCUCUCUUCCUUCUCCUGCGGUAUAUGUGCUGCAUAUGUGCAAAAGCCUAUGACUACUAGCUUGUUUGGAGUUUCUGUACCGAUUGAUCGAGUAACGUUUGCCCACGCACUCCGCGGGUGUUCGAUGUAUUCAACAAUAUUUUGAGCAUGUGUGGAGGCCGGACGCGCAUGUAUGUUCGUGGUGGUGUGAGUGUAGCAUGCGUAACGUGAAUAUAAGAGACUGUCCAAACAUACUCCCUCCGUCCCAAAAAAAAAAAAUCCAAUAUAGUAUUGGAUGGGACGUUUUCUAAUACAAUAAAUCUGUACAGGAGUAUGUCUAGAUUUAUUAUACUAUGAAACGUCUAAUUCAAUACUAGAUUGAGAUUAUUUUUUGAGACGGAGGGAGUACUUUCGUUCGAGCUAUAUAUAUAUGGCCUAUGGCUAAUAAGUGUAAAAUCGAAAAGUAAAUCGAACAAGCAAAACAAAAUUAUAUGUACGUACAACUAUAUAUCUAUGUUAUUAAUCAGUUUAAAAGACCGAUGCUAAAAAAAUAUGCUAAAUAAAUGAACCCUAAAUUAACCCUAUAACUAUGUUUUAAAAAACUAAAUUUUGACCGUGGCUGACUGUGACCCUGCCAACAUACAAUUGAUAGUCUCUCGGUUGCAUAAUUCGUAGUUACCAUAUUCCUUGCAUGUGGGUCUCGUGGUCUUGCGUAUGUGUGGUUAACUGCAUGCAUGUGAUCAAUAAAAAUUUGAGUAUUUUUACUAUGCAUUGGGUCCAGGUACCUAGGUACCUGCAAUCAGAGCCAUUCAUCGAGUGUGAUAUUCAAUUGUUGUCAAUCUUCGGUACUAUCAGGUACAAGAAUCCUCUUGGCGGUACCCCCUUCGUUGAACAAGCGGAAGUGCAAAACUGGGUUUAAAAUAGUUUUUUUUUUGUGCUGAUUCCGCACCUCAGGCUCUUCCCCAUCGCCGGUAAGCCGCUACUCUUGAUCCCCUUCCCUUAAGGCACCUCAUCUAUAUUUGUCUUGCAUGGCAGCGGUGCAAUCAACCUUGCUAGCCGAAUCCAAGCUACCGAGACACCUUCAACUCCCUCGCUACAAACUGCAGCCACGACGACGUGCUCAUCAGCGCGGCAGUAACCUCAGGAAACAUGGCUAAUGUUGGGUCGCCGGCUCGACUACUUCCCAGCCUUCUCCCACCUCCUUGGUGCUAGUACAUCUGAGGUAAUUGUUGGGUGACGCGACGACUUUGGGGGAACCUCCUAACCGCCCUCCCCAGUACCCUCCCAACGACACAGCUACUUCCUCCCUCCUCCCUGAUCAAAUCUCAAACGAACCGAGAUUAGCAACAGUUGCAAGUCCAGCUUCAUCUCAACCCACCAUCAGGAAUGAAGGCGAGGUCAAGAGCAGGUACAAGUCCAGCUUCAUCUUGCUAAGAAUCAUAAGAAGCGAAUCCUGGAGGUGGUGAUCAGGGACUUCUGCUAUGCCGCAGCAGCAGUCAGGUCGUGGUGCCAUCGGUAGCCUUCAACCCUAAAUACAAACCGUCGCCCGUGAAGGAUAGUACGAGACUAGGAGGUCGCGAGGGUCUUGUUUCCUUCUUUUUCCUAUUGUGUCCUUGCUUAUUCAACGGUUAGAUUUUGUUUGGUACCUUGCAGUACCAGUAUUUGGAGGUACCAUUUAAUGGACCAUAAAAACACUCCAAAAAAUUACAUGCAUCUUGUGUGUUACUAGGGAGAGGAGUUCCACUCUUCUCUCUCACCUUCUCUCCCUAACUCCCGAAGACUUGGAUAGAGUGGGGCUUUGUGUUGGUUGUAAGGGUCGGGUUUUGGCUGAUCUCGGCUAUAUUCUGUUGUUGGCCUAGCGGCGGUCGGUCACGCUUAGCGGCGGCUGGUCUGGUGAUAGCCUUCUCCUGGAUGUGUGUUGGUGCUGUCGGUGUAUGUGUGGUGGUAUACUUUUUCAUUUUCCUGGUUACGACCUUACAGGGUUAUAAUCUUGCAAUUUUUUCCUACUCUAUCAAUAGAACUUUGCACCGUCUAGUGCGAGUCGUUAAAAAAAAAUAAAUGGCUCAUUUGGUUGAACUUUAGAUUUUAAGAAACAGCUAGUGUAAAUCUAGCUUGUGAGAAGUUAGAGAAGCUAAGAAAAACUAGUCUCAGUUUAUUUUGUGUAUUCUUUAACCACAGUUUUUCUAAUUCUACGAUAAAUUAUGACUA